UUUAUACAACGCAAUUACACAAGGGACACGAGCUUACGUAAAUAAAUAUAUAGUAGGGACAAUCGAUAUAAAUUACCAUAUAAAGUAUUACUAAUUAAUAAAUUAAUUGGUCAAAGUACCGAUAGCUUCUGAAUAAAUUGUAGCAAAAGAUUCACUCAACUACUGUACGAGAUGUUUAACAUGAAGAUAUUUUUGUUGGCAAUUUUGAUAGUGGCUUUGUUUGCUGCCGAAACUUACGCUGCAUGCGUUAAAUACGGCGGUUUUUGCAAACCUGAGAUGGAUUGUUGCACUGGUAAAUGUCAAUGGAUGCCUCUCGUUCCAAUGGGAGUAUGUAAUGAUCAAGUUGCCAUAAAUUAACUUUGAAUUCACUUUCGACUCAGUUUAUAAAUACAUUUUUUUUUUAAUUUAUAAGAAAAUAAUUACGACUAUUUCUUUGUAUGAUGUAUGAUUUUAUUGUUAAAUAUAUGUACACUUUUUCCUACUAAAUUUGAAAAUAUAUUCGAAGUAUAGAAAUAUCAUUUG